CAAUAGCGUAUAUUAAAGUUGUUGCAGUUAAAAAGCUCGUAGUUGGAUUUCUGGUAGGAGUGACCGUUCCGAACUUGAUUGUUCGUGUAUUGUGUUUUCUCCAGCCAUCCUUGUGGAGAACUUUUCUUGCAUUAAUUUGUAGGGAUUGGGACCCGCAUCGUUUACUGUGAAAAAAUUAGAGUGUUUAAAGCAGGCAAUCGCUUGAAUACAUUAGCAUGGAAUAAUAAGAUAGGACUUUGGUACUAUUUUGUUGGUUUGCAUACCAAAUUAAUGAUCAACAGGAACAGUUUGAGGAUAUUCGUAUGAACAUGUCAGAGGUGAAAUUCUUGGAUUUUGGUCAGACGAACUACUGCGAAAGCAUUUAUCAAGGAUGUUUUCAUUAA
rnacentral:rRNA from 1 species